AAAUGUAUGGUGGUGAUGGAUAACAAGUGGAGCUAAUUAUAGGUAAUUAGUAGCCUAAAAACCUAUAUUUGCAAAGGAAAUCUCUAAUCUUCCAACUAAUAUAAUCCAACCCUCUAUCUUUCAUUAUUAGCACAUGUAUCCCAAAUCUAAACUUAUAUCCAACUUACAUAUCCAAAAAUUAUGGAUCGUAAAUUAAUUUAAUCAUUUGGUCAAUUGAAGUCCUAACAAAAUAAUCGACCACAUUCAAUUUCAUACUUGACUUAAGGUUCGACUAAUUAAUAAUCACUUCGUGUAAACACAACAUUUAACACCUCAUGCUUGUAGUCAUUAGCUACCUCUAACAUUAACUACUACAAAGGUGGUGUUCCAUUUUCAUAUGGCCAAAAAAUAGUAUUGAAAGUUAAAUCGCCAUCUUAAAGAAAUUUAAACUAGCAUAAAUUUUCGGAGUAUUACAU
rnacentral:lncRNA from 1 species